rnacentral:rRNA from 5 species
UGAAAUCAGGUGGGAUUACCC